rnacentral:rRNA from 1 species
AGUGAACGCUGGCGGUAGGCCUAACACAUGCAAGUCGAACGGCAGCACAGUAAGAGCUUGCUCUUACGGGUGGCGAGUGGCGGACGGGUGAGGAAUACAUCGGAAUCUACUUUUUCGUGGGGGAUAACGUAGGGAAACUUACGCUAAUACCGCAUACGACCUACGGGUGAAAGCAGGGGAUCUUCGGACCUUGCGCGAUUGAAUGAGCCGAUGUCGGAUUAGCUAGUUGGCGGGGUAAAGGCCCACCAAGGCGACGGUCCGUAGCUGGUCUGAGAGGAUGAUCAGCCACACUGGAACUGAGACACGGUCCAGACUCCUACGGGAGGCAGCAGUGGGGAAUAUUGGACAAUGGGCGCAAGCCUGAUCCAGCCAUGCCGCGUGGGUGAAGAAGGCCUUCGGGUUGUAAAGCCCUUUUGUUGGGAAAGAAAAGCAGCAGGUUAAUACCCCGCUGUUCUGACGGUACCCAAAGAAUAAGCACCGGCUAACUUCGUG